rnacentral:misc_RNA from 1 species
UACAGAGGGUGCAAGCGUUAAUCGGAAUUACUGGGCGUAAAGCGCAUGUAGGUGGUUUAUUGAGUUUGAUGUGAAAUCCCUGGGCUUAACCUGGGAAUGGCGUUGAAUACUGAUAGACUAGAGUUUGACAGAGGGUCGUGGAAUUUCCGGUGUAGCGGUGAAAUGCGUAGAGAUCGGAAAGAACACCAGUGGCGAAGGCGGCGACCUGGGUUGAAACUGACACUGAGGUGCGAAAGCGUGGGGAGCAAACAGG